rnacentral:rRNA from 1 species
AGCGCAACCNUCUAUCCCUAGUUGCUAGCAGUUCGGCUGAGAACUCUAGGGAGACUGCCGGUGACAAACCGGAGGAAGGUGGGGAUGACGUCAGGUCAUCAGUAANNUNACGGCCAGGGCUACACACGUGCUACAAUGGUGCGUACAGAGGGCUGCAAACCCGCGAGGGGGAGCUAAUCUCACAAAACGCAUCGUAGUCCGGAUCGGAGUCUGCAACUCGACUCCGUGAAGUCGGAAUCGCUAGUAAUCGCGAAUCAGAAUGUCGCGGUGAAUACGUUCCCGGGCCUUGUACACACCGCCCGUCACACCAUGGGAGUGGAUUGCACCAGAAGUGGUUAGUCUAACCUUCGGGAGGACG